AAGUCGAACGAACUCUGGUAUUGAUUGGUGCUUGCAUCAUGAUUUACAUUUGAGUGAGUGGCGAACUGGUGAGUAACACGUGGGAAACCUGCCCAGAAGCGGGGGAUAACACCUGGAAACAGAUGCUAAUACCGCAUAACAACUUGGACCGCAUGGUCCGAGUUUGAAAGAUGGCUUCGGCUAUCACUUUUGGAUGGUCCCGCGGCGUAUUAGCUAGAUGGUGGGGUAACGGCUCACCAUGGCAAUGAUACGUAGCCGACCUGAGAGGGUAAUCGGCCACAUUGGGACUGAGACACGGCCCAAACUCCUACGGGAGGCAGCAGUAGGGAAUCUUCCACAAUGGACGAAAGUCUGAUGGAGCAACGCCGCGUGAGUGAAGAAGGGUUUCGGCUCGUAAAACUCUGUUGUUAAAGAAGAACAUAUCUGAGAGUAACUGUUCAGGUAUUGACGGUAUUUAACCAGAAAGCCACGGCUAACUACGUGCCAGCAGCCGCGGUAAUACGUAGGUGGCAAGCGUUGUCCGGAUUUAUUGGGCGUAAAGCGAGCGCAGGCGGUUUUUUAAGUCUGAUGUGAAAGCCUUCGGCUCAACCGAAGAAGUGCAUCGGAAACUGGGAAACUUGAGUGCAGAAGAGGACAGUGGAACUCCAUGUGUAGCGGUGAAAUGCGUAGAUAUAUGGAAGAACACCAGUGGCGAAGGCGGCUGUCUGGUCUGUAACUGACGCUGAGGCUCGAAAGUAUGGGUAGCAAACAGGAUUAGAUACCCUGGUAGUCCAUACCGUAAACGAUGAAUGCUAAGUGUUGGAGGGUUUCCGCCCUUCAGUGCUGCAGCUAACGCAUUAAGCAUUCCGCCUGGGGAGUACGGCCGCAAGGCUGAAACUCAAAGGAAUUGACGGGGGCCCGCACAAGCGGUGGAGCAUGUGGUUUAAUUCGAAGCUACGCGAAGAACCUUACCAGGUCUUGACAUACUAUGCAAAUCUAAGAGAUUAGACGUUCCCUUCGGGGACAUGGAUACAGGUGGUGCAUGGUUGUCGUCAGCUCGUGUCGUGAGAUGUUGGGUUAAGUCCCGCAACGAGCGCAACCCUUAUUAUCAGUUGCCAGCAUUAAGUUGGGCACUCUGGUGAGACUGCCGGUGACAAACCGGAGGAAGGUGGGGAUGACGUCAAAUCAUCAUGCCCCUUAUGACCUGGGCUACACACGUGCUACAAUGGAUGGUACAACGAGUUGCGAACUCGCGAGAGUAAGCUAAUCUCUUAAAGCCAUUCUCAGUUCGGAUUGUAGGCUGCAACUCGCCUACAUGAAGUCGGAAUCGCUAGUAAUCGCGGAUCAGCAUGCCGCGGUGAAUACGUUCCCGGGCCUUGUACACACCGCCCGUCACACCAUGAGAGUUUGUAACACCCAAAGUCGGUGGGGUACACCUU
rnacentral:rRNA from 1 species